CCUACGGGAGGCAGCAGUGAGGAAUAUUGGUCAAUGGACGAGAGUCUGAACCAGCCAAGUAGCGUGAAGGAUGACUGCCCUAUGGGUUGUAAACUUCUUUUAUAAAGGAAUAAAACGAGGCACGUGUGCCUUUUUGCAUGUACUUUAUGAAUAAGGAUCGGCUAACUCCGGGCCAGCAGCCGCGGUAAUACGGAGGGUCCGAGCGUUAUCCGGAUGUAUUGGGUUUAAAGGGAGCGUAGAUGGGUUGUUAAGUCAUGUGUGAAAGUUUGCGGCUCAACCGUAAAAUUGCAAUUGAUACUGGCAGUCUUGAGUACAGUUGAGGUAGGCGAAAUUCGUGGUGUAGCGGUGAAAUGCUUAGAUAUCACGAAGAACCACGAUUGCGAAGGCAGCUUACUAAACUGUGACUGACAUUGAUGCUCGAAAGUGUGGGUAUCAAACAGGAUUAGAAACCCCAGUAGUC
rnacentral:rRNA from 1 species